rnacentral:lncRNA from 1 species
AUGCAGCUUGAUCUUGUUACUCGUUGCCAAAUAUUUGGGUGUGCCUUUGGCAAGUGAGAUAAAAGAGGUUAUAAAAAGGCUUUAACACUGUUAGAUUUUAAAUGGGUGGGCUGGGCAAUGUUGUAUCUAAUACAAUUCUGCCAGUUCUGCUGCAGAUAGCAGAGAACUGUACCUGAUAUUAAAAGAAAAUUACUUCAUCACAUAUAACAGAUAGUAACAUAUCUUCUGUCUAUUGAGCCGCAGUGGCGCCAUGGGUUUUAUGCUGGUCAAACUGCUUACCUGAAGGUUGGGUUGCUGACCUGAAAGUUGCCGAUUUGAAUCCUUGAGAUGGGACUUGUUGUCGACCGCGUUUUAGGGGAUCGGGCCCUUAAGGAGAGACCCGAUCCGGUCCUGAGAGAACGGACCUUGGCGAAGCCAAAAGGAGAAUUAUGAGCCGCAAUACAACCUGAAGCCGAAAUGAAGAAGGUCCGCCAAAGUUGAAGGAAAAUCCGCCAAGGAGUCUUUAUUGAGCAAUUCAGCUGAAGAGGACUCUAGUAGCGAUCAUUCGGUCUACUAGGGUACCAUACAAUCAAAAUAAAGCCAUACUUAUACAAAAUUUCAGUCUGACAACCCUUUGAAUUUCCCGCCCUGCUUCCCCGCCCAUCUGAUCGUUGAUAGGCUAGAAGGUUGAACGAGGCGGGCUUUCGUUUCCCGCCUUGCUCCGUUGGCCCAAUAGGAAGCUGCCUUUUGUCUCUACUCGGGCCAAUCAGGAAAGAGAAGGCGGGAGUUAUCGAAACAAUGAGGUGACGGGACAGGAACUAGCGGAUUAAGUCCUGCUAGACCGAUUUCU